AUAAUACUAUCCCCCACCAAACCCGUCGAACUCUACGGUGUAUAGCACUACCCGUACCGCGUCCACUCUCACUCUUAACUCCCCCACUCACCAUGGAUUCCAAAUCCGGCCACCACUUACUGCUUUCAGCACUCACACUCUUCCUCUCAAUCUCUCUCCCCUCAGCAACAGACACCUCACCAAUCACUCGCUUCCAACAAUACCUCCGAAUCAACACAGCCCACCCAAACCCUGACUACACCUCCGCAAUCGCCUUUCUCAAAACCCUAGCUCACUCCAUCGGCCUCCAAACCCUAACCCUCCAGAUCACCCCAACCAAGCCCCUCCUCCUCCUUACCUGGCCCGGCUCAAACCCUACCCUUCCCUCAAUCCUCCUCAAUUCCCACCUCGACUCCGUACCCGCCGAACCCUCCAAGUGGACCCACGAUCCCUUCGCCGCCGUCCGCUCCGACGACGGCAAGAUAUUCGCCCGCGGAGCCCAGGACGACAAGUGUAUUGCCCUCCAGUACCUCGAAGCCAUCAAAACCCUUAAAAAUGAGCUCAAUUUCGUACCCACUCGAACGGUGCACGUAUCGUAUGUGCCUGAUGAGGAAAUUGGUGGGGGUGAUGGGAUGGCGAAGUUCGUGAAGUCGAAGGAGUUUGGGAAAUUGAAUGUAGGGUUUGUGCUGGAUGAGGGUCAGGCUUCCACCAACGAUGAAUUUAGGGUUUUUUAUGCUGACCGGUCGCCGUGGAAUUUGGUUAUUAGGGCUUUGGGGAUGCCGGGACACGGUUCGAGGUUAUUUGAUAACAGUGCUAUGGAGAAUUUGAUGAAGAGCAUUGAGAUUAUGACUAAGUUUAGGGGGACUCAAUUUGAUGUGGUUAAAGCUGGAUUAGCUGCCAAUUCGGAAGUUAUUUCGGUUAAUCCUGUGUAUCUAAAAGCUGGAAUUCCGACCCCCACUGGAUUUGUGAUGAAUAUGCAACCCUCUGAGGCGGAAGCUGGGUUUAACAUUCGAAUGCCCCCAAUGACCGACCCAGAUCUUCUGAGGAAGAGAAUCGCGGACGAAUGGGCACCAGUUACUAGGAACAUGACAUAUGAGAUAAGGGAGAUAGGACCGCUAAGGGACAAUAUGGGACGCCCUUUAAUGACAGCCACCAAUGAAUCCAACCCCUGGUGGUCUCUUUUCAACCAAGCUAUCACAGCAGCUGGUGGGAAACUUGCAAAGCCUGAAAUCUUGGCUUCAACUACAGAUGCUCGGUUCAUGAGACAGAUGGGAAUUCCGACUCUUGGUUUCUCCCCGAUGAAAAACACUCCCAUCUUACUUCAUGACCAUAAUGAGUUUCUGAAGGAUACUGUGUACUUGGAGGGAAUUAAGAUAUAUGAGUCCAUAAUCAAGAUUUUCAGUUCCUUUGAGGGAGCUUCUCUUUAGAUCGGUAGUCGAUGGGGAAAGUACGAGAUUCAACAUGAUAAUGGUCUUAUGCCGGACCAUUGUGCUCUAAAGAGCAUUGAUUUUUACAGUGAGGAAAUGAAGAGAGACCUUUGGGGUCCUAUUCUCUAACCGGGAGGGUGUGUCAUAAGUUGCACAAAAGGUGAACAAAAUUAGACCCCUUACCAGUCUAUUUGCAAUAUCUUUCUAUGAUUUUCUUGUGCUUGUCUACAGAUUCACUACCAUAAUUAUUGAAGAAUUCUUGUCAUUUCAUGAUUGUGAAAAGCUCUUCCAGAUACCGCCUCAUGGAGGAGGAAGGGGAGAGGAGAGAAAAGAGCUUGUACGGAUUAACGACACGAUUCUCAUCAUGCACGUUUAUGAUUCGUUGAGAUUAAUGCAAUUAUUCGAAGAAUCUUGUUUCACUAUUGUUUUUCUCUUCCUUGGUAAGAAAUUCGUGUUCAUAUGCUCCUUGAAUACUGGAACCCUCACCUGUCAUUUCGAGAGAAGUUGACAAGUAGAGAAGAGACCUCCACUACAUCUAUUUUUGCAUUUGUGUGAUUGUACCAAAGUUUAUACUAUAUGGCUCUUUGCUCAUUUGUGCAU